AGUGAACAGUGAAAUUAAAAAAAAUUGUUUAAUCGUAUUUGAAAAAGCUUUUCCUUAAUUAAGUAAAAUAGAAUGGAUUCAGUGGCCGGUGCACUUUUGUCUCAGGAGGAAGAACAUGCUGCAGUCAACUGUUGCAUUAAUAUACAAAGGAGAUUGCUACGAGACAGUUCUGAACCAUUUAGCUUAAAUGAUAAAAUAUUUGUAAAAAAUUUCCGCCUCAACAAAGACGCAUUUAAAAGCGUUUUAACAAUUAUGGAGGAAGAGCUUGGGUGAAGUGUAAAAUCAUCAUCGGUGACUCCUGUAAGUAGAUUGAUGGCAGUUUUGAGGUUUUUCGCUGAAGGAAGCUACCAACACGGUGUUGGGAAAGAUUUUGAUGUGGGGUUGGCGCAAUCAACGUUCUCAAAAACAUUGACAAAAACUUUAAACAUCUUGGAACGCCGACUGUGCCCAGUAUGGAUUAAAUUGUCAAUGACGGAGGAGGAGAAUAAACGAGCCAAAAUGUGGUUUUACAGGAGAACGCAAUUCCCUGGCGUUAUUAUGUGUGUGGACGGCACGCACAUUAAAAUACUUCCUCCUGCAGACGAACCGUAUUUGUACUACAAUCGUAAGGGAUACUACAGCCUAAAUGCAAUGGUGAUUUGCGAUAACAAGAUGCAAAUAAGGU